rnacentral:lncRNA from 1 species
AUAGGGUCUUACCAUAAUAUAAGGAAAGCAGGGUUUCACUUCAGUAAGGUUUUCUCGAAAUAUGAAAAUGUAUUUCACUUGAAGGUGGGUUUUUAGCAACUUGAAAGUACGGUUCAGUGGUGAACUGAUCAAAUGUUCGAUAGAUGGAAAUAUAGUUCGACCAAAAUACGAGAUUUUUCAAUAAUCAAAACACUGAAAGAUCAAUAAAGGUGGGAUAUUUCGAAAUGAAUAACAUGCAAAAUGGGUUCUUUUUUCAUUGGAACAUUUUUCCUAAUGCAACAGUAGUGAAUCUUAGUUAUCUGGUGUUAGAUUGGUUGGAAAAAAAAUCAAGAGCAUGAGAAGGAAUGGGAAUGACAAUGGAUUUCAGAUUGAAGGAAAAAG